rnacentral:rRNA from 1 species
GACGAACGCUGGCGGCGUGCUUAACACAUGCAAGUCGAACGGAAAGGCCCUGCUUUUGUGGGGUGCUCGAGUGGCGAACGGGUGAGUAACACGUGAGUAACCUGCCCUUGACUUUGGGAUAACUUCAGGAAACUGGGGCUAAUACCGGAUAGGAGCUCCUGCUGCAUGGUGGGGGUUGGAAAGUUUCGGCGGUUGGGGAUGGACUCGCGGCUUAUCAGCUUGUUGGUGGGGUAGUGGCUUACCAAGGCGUUGACGGGUAGCCGGCCUGAGAGGGUGACCGGCCACAUUGGGACUGAGAUACGGCCCAGACUCCUACGGGAGGCAGCAGUGGGGAAGAGUGCACAAUGGGCGGAAGCCUGAUGCAGCAACGCCGCGUGCGGGAUGACGGCCUUUGGGUUGUAAACCGCUUUCGCCUGUGACGAAGCGUGAGUGACGGUAAUGGGUAAAGAAGCACCGGCUAACUACGUG